rnacentral:rRNA from 1 species
GACGAACGCUGGCGGCGUGCCUAAUACAUGCAAGUAGAACGCUGAAGAGAGGAGCUUGCUCUUCUUGGAUGAGUUGCGAACGGGCGAGUAACGCGUAGGUAACCUGCCUGGUAGCGGGGGAUAACUAUUGGAAACGAUAGCUAAUACCGCAUAAAAUUGAUUAUUGCAUGAUAAUUAAUUGAAAGAUGCAAUUGCAUCACUACCAGAUGGACCUGCGUUGUAUUAGCUAGUUGGUGAGGUAACGGCUCACCAAGGCGACGAUACAUAGCCGACCUGAGAGGGUGAUCGGCCACACUGGGACUGAGACACGGCCCAGACUCCUACGGGAGGCAGCAGUAGGGAAUCUUCGGCAAUGGGGGGAACCCUGAC